rnacentral:rRNA from 1 species
CAGUGCCGCGGUAAUACGUAGGUGGCAAGCAUUGUCCGGAAUUAUUGGGCGUAAAGGGCUCGCAGGCGGUUUCUUAAGUCUGAUGUGAAAGCCCCCGGCUCAACCGGGGAGGGUCAUUGGAAACUGGGAAACUUGAGUGCAGAAGAGGAGAGUGGAAUUCCACGUGUAGCGGUGAAAUGCGUAGAGAUGUGGAGGAACACCAGUGGCGAAGGCGACUCUCUGGUCUGUAACUGACGCUGAGGAGCGAAAGCGUGGGGAGCGAACAGGAUUAGAUACCCGCGUAGUCCCUGUCUCUUAUACA